CCCAGACUCCUACGGGAGGCAGCAGUGGGGGAUAUUGCACAAUGGGGGAAACCCUGAUGCAGCAACGCCGCGUGGGUGAAGAAGCGCCUCGGCGCGUAAAGCCCUGUCAGCAGGGAAGAAAAUGACGGUACCUGAAGAAGAAGCCCCGGCUAACUACGUGCCAGCAGCCGCGGUAAUACGUAGGGGGCAAGCGUUAUCCGGAUUUACUGGGUGUAAAGGGCGUGUAGGCGGGAAAGCAAGUCAGAUGUGAAAACCAUGGGCUCAACCUGUGGCCUGCAUUUGAAACUGUUUUUCUUGAGUACUGGAGAGGCAGACGGAAUUCCUAGUGUAGCGGUGAAAUGCGUAGAUAUUAGGAGGAACACCAGUGGCGAAGGCGGCCUGCUGGACCGUGACUGACGUUGAGGCUCGAGAGCGUGGGGAGCAAACAGGAUUAGAUACCCGAGUAA
rnacentral:rRNA from 1 species